rnacentral:tRNA from 1 species
GGAUUGUGGCUCAGUGGUAGAGCACUCGCCUAGCAUAGGUGGGACCCGAGUUCGAUUCUCAGCACCA